AGUCAGAUUGCGUCACGACCUCUCUCAUCCUCUCCUCUGGAUCCCUCUUAUUUGCAAGAAAGCGUUUUCAGAAGCUUCUCCGAAGAGGGAAGUGAUAGAAGCUUAUCAUAUCUGGCGGCUUGAUAGCGAGCAGUGUUCAUCGCCCCACUGCCAAGCACAGAGAGAAAGGUCGUGCAGAUGGAAACACGGGAACAACCAAGAAUCCUUGUUCACGUGCUCGGCCACGAGGAAAGCUGUUACUGGCCCAAGUGUGUGGCGGAGUUUGUCAUGGACAGCAGAAAAACCUUUUCAGAGUGAGGACGGAAAUGAUUCAAAUUGAGACUGUUGAGAAGAAGGGCGACCAUCAAAUAACAACUGGGAACAAGAAAUCACAGUGAUGCUGGCGUGUAAAGGUGGCCGAAGGAUGUCAAGAGCAUUGGGUGAAGACAGUAUGGCGCUCUCCUAUGCAGUCAAACCACGUUCAUUCUCAAUUUUAAGGACCACGUGCGGCGUGUUUACAACUAGCUCAGACAAUGUGGCGCUAACAGCAACGGGACGUUUCAAGCAGGCAUCACCAUCAACUGCGGUCCAGUGGGUCCCAGAGAAAAUGGUUGCUGCAUCUCGAACUCGCUCGAUGGACUCGAGGACGACAAACUCAAAAUACAAACACUGACAGCUCUUGCUCUAGUCCGCACUACAGGGGCAUCACACACACAAGUUUCCUGGAAAGCUUCAAUCAACCAGAGAGCAUGGGUUUGACAGUCACACUAUGACUUUGGAAGGAGAACCAUUUAAUGAGGAAUUCACCGGUACAGCUUCCUCAAACUUGCUUAUAGGCACAUUAUGUAGCGAGCAAUUUCAAGAUGGACACGAAAAACCCUGGAAAACACGUGCCAACUGUUAAUCCCGCAGAAAGGCCCUGGAAUCGCAAAAUUAAAUAACUUUGCAAGCGACUGAAUAAAAAUAU